GGCGGCCCCGAUCCGCCACGCCGCCCGCACCGCCGCGCUCAUCGCCCCGCCGCCGGCACCGCCGCACCGCGCCCGCACCGCCCGCCCAUUGGCGCACGGCGCGACGGGCCGCCGGACAGCUCCCUUCGCAUAGGCGCAGGCACCCGCCAAUCAGCACCCACAGCCAAUAGCGAUGGACACAGCGUGACUUGUCCCGCCCAGCAACCCUGCGGCGGCUCCGCUGCCCUAGCGGAGGGAACAGAGCGGCUGCGGCUGCAUUGGGAGAGCGACCUGUCAAUCCAACGGGGACACAUUAAUCCCGCCCUCCCGCGGCCGCGGCUGGCCAGGCGGCCCCGGGGCGGGGCUCCGCUCGGGAUGCUCGGGGGGCGAUUGGCGUGCGGCCCCUUCCGUUUCCGGGUAGCGGCCGCAGGCGUGGGGCGCUGCCGGUGCGCCCGCACGGGCCCUGUGCCACCGCCGGCAUGGAUGGACCGGCCGCGCUUCCCCUCCUGUGCCCCCACGUCGGCUCCGCGGGCAGCGCCGAGCAGCACGGCGGGGAGGCGUGGCUGGGCGGCCCUGCUGUGCUCAGCCUCUCCCGUGCUCAGCCUGUCCCUUCGGGCAUGGGGGGCCCUCGAAGACCCCGGGCCGUGCCGGCGCCGCCGGCCCUCGGGCGGGUCUAGGUUUUAUCCCGCCGGCCCUUUGGUGGUGCAGGCGGUGGUGGAGCUCUCUCGGGCUGGGGCUGGCUAAGGGUCAGGGCAGAUCCCGGAAUAGGGGCUGAUGGGGCGGGUGCGCGGGGUGAAGCCGCGGUGCUGAGGCGUGCUCAGGUGUGCAAUGGCAGCGGGGCGGCCGCGCACGGACGGGCAGCGCCGCUCGGUCCGCACCUUCUGCCCUCGCAGGCGGCGGAGGCUGUAUGUGGGCAGCUGGCAAACUGCUGCGUGGGUCUGUCUCAUUCCUGGCUUUGGCUGUGUCCGGGGAGCGAUUUGACUGCGUUCGGUUUCCCGGGUUUGGUUGAUUUUUGGUGGGCUAAAGCAGGCGGUUUGUCCCUGAGAAAGUAGCGGCGCUUUGCGUGCUCGGAUUUGGUGCUGAGAGGGGAGACCCGAGUAGUUUUGCACAGCUUGACUUGUCACCCGAGCAGUUGGCAGGGGUGGCAGCGGGAUGGAAAACUGGGAGCACGAUUGGGCUGGCUGCCUGUGCAAAAGGAUGGUUCCGUCGGUGCUGGAGCAAGGGCAGAACUGCCGCAUGUCAGCCAGAGAAGUGCUGGGCUUGGAACGUGUCCUGCAGACGGCCGCCUGUACAGCCAGCUUUGCUCGCUCUCCUGGGCAGAUGCCGAAUUCUUUCCAAGAACUUGGCGUGGCAGUCCUAAAGCAGCAGGGUCUAUCCUGUAAGUAGAAGAAAAUGUUGACGAGUUUUCCUCUUACUAAAAUACAGUUUCUCACGAAUAAUAAGUCACAGUAUAUUUUGAGUGUUAAUUUCUAUUGCAGCUGUAGCGUCUGGACUUUUGGUGUAUUAAUGACCAUUUGUCUUAUUUAUGUUUGUAAGGAAAAGAACUUUUACUAUCCAGUUCUGUUCUUGUGAGAGCUUUGUUUUCAGCAUUCAGAAGAGAGCUUGCCUUAUUCUUGUUUUUUGUGGAAUCCAGCUGAUGCUUGAGUGACAACUUUGUUUUAAUUUUUUUGAAGCCACCCUCAGGAUCGCUUCUGUAGCCUUUUGUUUAAAUGUGUUAAGAACAGAUUCCGAAGGGAAUUGUUGCAACUUGACCUUUGUCGUCCCAUGUAAAUAGGUUAUGAAUAAGUAAAGUGUUGCUGCAGUAUUUAAAAGUAGAUGUAUUUAUGAGGAAACACUUUUAAUCUGAAUAUGUUGUGUUGCUGAUGAACAUCGUGUAUUUUUUGAGUUAGUAUGUUUUGCUUUCAACAAAACAUCACAAUCCAGGCUCAGCCAUGGUGAUCAAGACAGAGGAGUAUUUGCUUUCUGUAGUUUAUAUGUUGAGAUUAACAUGGUGAAGGUUGUGAAGCAUGAAAAAAAAAAUGUCCUGUUUGUGCUAGAUGGAACUGCAGUAACUUAGGCAGAGCAAAAGUAUGUUUUCCUAUUUGUUGGACUGUUUCAAUAUACAAAGACAUAUCAAGUGUUAAAUGUAAUAUCCCAAGGGGUCUCUUUUGUCAUUUUAAUCCAGUAUAAAGACUCCUGCCACUUAGAGCCUGCGGAGUCAAAAUGGAAUUAAAUAAAAAUUGAUUGACAAAAAAGAUAUCUUUUUGUUCUUAAAGACAACUAGGUGUUUUCUUUCAACAAAAUAUUGGGCUAAGAACUGAAUACUCUAGUAUUUGCCUUCCUGAAUUUUGUCCGAGCUAUUUCUACAAAGGGAUGGUUCACUAAAAAUAAGUAACAUAAAGACAUCCGACCCAAGUGUAAUAAACCCUUGUGAGUGCGUAUUCUUUCAGAAACCACGUAACCACAGCUGUAGUGUAAUCCUCUGUAGUCUAAGAGGUGCCCUUGGUUGCUGGUACCCUGGGCAUACCAGGCUUGCAGAGAGAGCAGCAGCGCGAGGAAGCCGAGGCGUGCCUGUCGGAGCGCAGCAGCAGCAUGCGCAAUAUUCCUCCCACAGUUGCCACUCUGUUGCCACGGAGAUAAUGAUUUAAAUCAUCUGUUCAGAAGAAGCAUUAAUGGGAUUUGCAUGACUCCUGACAUUUUGCUGACGUUCCUGUUAGAAGACCUAUCACCUCAUUUUGAAAACACUAAUAAAAGCACCAGUAUUCAAAUUGCAGGGUUUAAAUGAUCACAGAGGGUUAACAUCAGGCAUUCUGCUGCAGAACAGAAUUGUGAUUUAUAAGUUUGUGGUUUGUUCUCACAUGGUAUACAAGGAGAUGGUUGUACAAGAAUGAUACUGUCAGCAAAAAGGUUUUUAUUUCUUUUUAAAAAGGGGAGGGCUAAGUUAGCUAGUGAGAAAGAAAAGUCUCAUUUCAGCUUAUCAGAACAGGACAUGUCUUCAUGUUCAAGUCCGAUAUCUCUGUGUCAUUCCGAGUUGUGAUAGUGACUGAAAAUGAAGUUCCUUGUUGUGCCCUAACAAUUGAGCUCUAUUUAGGUGGGGGUUUAUUGUUCAUUGAAGUUUUUAAGUGGGAUAGCUUGAGCUCCAGCUGUUUUGCAUGCCAGGUAAAUAAUCUCAGUGUACCAUCACAGUAACGGCAGCACCAACACAUCCUCAGUUUUGAGAGCAUUAUACAUGUUUAAAUGUGCUUGCAAUUCUGGGUUGCUUAAAUUGUGAACACUGAAAACACAUCUGUGACAUGUUCCUGGUUAUUUUGGAAUUCUGCUAGUUUUAAAAAGUUAUGCAACAAACAGCAGAAACAUAGAAAUGCUGUGGAGGUUUUACACGGAAAGUGACAUUUUGAAAUCAGAACUGUACCUAGCUUCCUGUUUUGGGUCUAACCUGGAGAUCUAUAAGCAAGUUAGUUUCUGAACUGGAUAGGUAAUUAAAUAAUAUCCAUGGAUUGAUGGCAUAUUCCUUAGAGUGUUUGUGUUAGCCUUAAAAUACAAUAUUCCAUUUAAUAAAUGAGGUAAAGAAUAUUUACAAAGUGACUGGUAUCCAUUUAACUGAUGGGAAUAAACAUGACCUAAGGCAGUUUUUUGAUUUAAACCAUGUAAAGGUACUUUUGGCAGAGAGGGGUCAUGGUAAUGAUCCAAGGAGAAAUGUCUGAGCCCCGCAUUUAACAAAUAGAAUGGGAGGUCAUGUUCAGGCUUGAAUGUGGACCUUUAAAUGAGGCACUUUUUAGACUUCAUUUACUUCUUAAUGACACUGAUAGCACUGUGUGCCUCUUUGCACUGAGCUUUGUGCAUUGUGACACUACCUUGAAGCAAGGACAAGUAGUAUGGUCUCUGUAUUAGAGGAGCAGAUUUAUUCUUUGGGGUAAGCAAGCUGCUUGCAACUGUUCUGGCACAUGAAAAUCUGUUAGGUCUUUCAGGUUUGCAGAUGGUAGUGGUUCUUGAGUCUUUCAGUAUUACAAAGAAAGCAUAAUUUUAUAUGUAUCUCUUUCCAUGCAGAACUAAGAAAUACUGCCUCUAAUGACAACACCUCUGGCCUCUUUUCAUCCAGCAGUUAGGAGUGCUAAAAUCUUCAAUGGGCCUUAGAAAAAGAUUGGGCAAGCUCAAGAAAAAAUUUAUCUGCCAAAAAUAAAGACACCAUUAUGGUAUCGAGUCCUGGGCCAUAGAAGGCUGGGUGUCGCAGCAUAUGCCACAGUGGAGACAGCCACAAUACACAGAGUAUCACCAUACAAUUUCAUAAAGCUUCAACCCACACAGAGUAACACCACUUCAGAAGGCUACAAGGAUGUUGUUUAGAUCCUUUUGUACCCCUCAUGUUCAUGCAUUGCACCUGAGUGCCCUGUGUUCCUGUGGUGAUGGUCAGUGCCCCUGGGCACUGCAUGGCUCACUGCUGUCAGUGCUGCUCACCUGCUUCUCACAGCUGUACACCGGGGAUGAGGCUGGGCUGCAGCCCCACUCCCAGUUACCACUAACUACUUCCAGCUCGGGAGUGGGAUUGGCACUAUGUGCAUGUCCUGUUCUUUGCUUCCUGUGCUCGCUUUUGUCCAGUGUCACGGAAAUGGUAUCUUUGUCUCUGGUAUGGUAAUUUGUACAACUGUAAUUUACUUAAAGUGCCUGGACACUUUACUGGAAGUGUCUUGGCCUUUAGUAAGGCUGGGAAAACCCCAGGGCACUCAGUGCCUGUAAGAAAGAUUCUUGUGCCCCAUUUAAUGCCAGAAUGCUCUGUCACAGCAGUGGUGCUUCACUGGCUCAGUUUUAAAAACGUGCAGGUGCAGUGAGGCACAAGAGCAUCCGCGAUUAUCCUGCGUGUCGUGACCACGAGGGGGCCCUGGCAGCUUGGGUCUGGCUGAGCCCGGAGUUACACACUGGUACAGGGGCAGGGCUGAUGGCUUGGUGCCUCAGUGGUUACAUCCCUUCUUCAGCACUUCUGAAUUGCCUCUUCUAUAUUAUUUUAUUACAGUAUUUUGCUAUGUAAUUUUGAAAAAUUCAUCUUGUUAUAAAAACUCAACACUAGCCGUUUGUUCUCCUCUGUGGCAGAAGACACUACCAAGCAGGUAGUUUAGCAUGUGAGUUUUCAUCUGUAUGAACAAUUUCCCCAAGUAAAAGUUCAAGAGUUUUGCACACAUCACUGUAUUUCUAAAGUUGAAGGAAUUGGUAUGAAGAAUCUUAAUGAUAAGAUCUUUUGCAUAUUUUAAGCUUGGUAUUACGGUAUUUCAAUAAAGAUUUUCUUUCUCUGCA